rnacentral:lncRNA from 1 species
GUCCCGAAAGAUUUUAUCGAUUACGUGAAGUUACUAAAUUACCCUUAAACGUUUUGAGUUAUGUGGUGGUGUGGUUUAAGUUUAAGUUUUAUUUGGAUUAAUUCUAAAUUUUCCUAAGUUUUGGGACACUUAAGCUUAUAAGGUGUUUUCUUUGGUUUUGGGUUGGUGACCCACGUGGACCACACACACGCACACUCUCCCUCUCUCCCG